GAUGAACGCUGGCGGCGUGCCUAAUACAUGCAAGUCGAGCGAACAGACGAGGAGCUUGCUCCUCUGACGUUAGCGGCGGACGGGUGAGUAACACGUGGAUAACCUACCUAUAAGACUGGGAUAACUUCGGGAAACCGGAGCUAAUACCGGAUAAUAUAUUGAACCGCAUGGUUCAAUAGUGAAAGACGGUUUUGCUGUAACUUAUAGAUGGAUCCGCGCCGCAUUAGCUAGUUGGUAAGGUAACGGCUUACCAAGGCAACGAUGCGUAGCCGACCUGAGAGGGUGAUCGGCCACACUGGAACUGAGACACGGUCCAGACUCCUACGGGAGGCAGCAGUAGGGAAUCUUCCGCAAUGGGCGAAAGCCUGACGGAGCAACGCCGCGUGAGUGAUGAAGGUCUUCGGAUCGUAAAACUCUGUUAUUAGGGAAGAACAAAUGUGGAAGUAACUAUGCACGUCUUGACGGUACCUAAUCAGAAAGCCACGGCUAACUACGUG
rnacentral:rRNA from 1 species